GGAAUUGCUAGUAAUGGCAGGUCAGCAUACUGCCGUGAAUACGUUCCCGGGCCUUGUACACACCGCCCGUCACACCAUGAGAGUUGGGAAUACCCGAAGCCUGUGAGCUAACUUUUAGAGGCAGCAGUCGAAGGUAGAAUCAAUGAUUGGGGUGAAGUCGUAACAAGGUAGC
rnacentral:rRNA from 1 species